ACUAAGAUGGCCGAAACUUUAAGCAGUAAAUUGUAAAUUUAUUUAUGAAUAUAUAUUCUCUUAGUA
rnacentral:tRNA from 1 species